rnacentral:piRNA from 1 species
CUGGUGGGCACUUGUCCAUAUGGUGG